UACGUAGGGUGCGAGCGUUGCCCGGAUUUAUUGGGCGUAAAGGGCGCGUAGGCGGCUCUGCACGUCCGUUGUGAAAUCGCCCGGCUCAACUGGGCGGGGUCAGCGGAUACGGCGGAGCUUGAGCAAGCUAGGGGGCAAUGGAAUUCCCGGUGUAGUGGUGGAAUGCGUAGAUAUCGCUUGGAACGCCAAAGGUGAAAACAGGUUGCUGGGGUUGUGCCGACGCUGAGACACGAAAGCCAGGGGAGCAAACGGG
rnacentral:rRNA from 1 species